ACAAGUGUUGUAAUUCUCGUGUU
rnacentral:siRNA from 1 species